UUAAGUGAAUAAGGGCGCACGGUGGAUGCCUUGGCACUAGGAGCCGAUGAAGGACGGGACUAACACCGAUAUGCUUUGGGGAGCUGUAAGUAAGCUAUGAUCCAGAGAUUUCCGAAUGGGGGAACCCAAUAUCUUUUAUAGGAUAUUACUUUUCAGUGAAUACAUAGCUGAUUAGAGGUAGACGCAGAGAACUGAAACAUCUUAGUACCUGCAGGAAGAGAAAGAAAAUUCGAUUCCCUGAGUAGCGGCGAGCGAAACGGGAAGAGCCCAAACCAACAAGCUUGCUUGUUGGGGUUGUAGGACUCCAAUAUGGUAGUCUGUUAGUAUAGUUGAAGGAUUUGGAAAAUUCCGCUAAAGAGGGUGAAAGCCCCGUAGACGAAAUGCUGACAACACCUAGGAGGAUCCUGAGUACGGCGGAACACGAGAAAUUCCGUCGGAAUCCGCGGGGACCAUCCCGCAAGGCUAAAUACUCCCUAGUGACCGAUAGUGAACCAGUACCGUGAGGGAAAGGUGAAAAGCACCCCGGAAGGGGAGUGAAAUAGAUCCUGAAACCGUGUGCCUACAACAAGUCAAAGCUCGUUAAUGAGUGAUGGCGUGCCUUUUGUAGAAUGAACCGGCGAGUUACGAUUGCAUGCGAGGUUAAGUCGAAGAGACGGAGCCGCAGCGAAAGCGAGUCUGAAUAGGGCGAAUGAGUAUGUAGUCGUAGACCCGAAACCAUGUGAUCUACCCAUGUCCAGGUUGAAGGUGCGGUAAAACGCACUGGAGGACCGAACCCACGUACGUUGAAAAGUGCGGGGAUGAGGUGUGGGUAGCGGAGAAAUUCCAAACGAACUUGGAGAUAGCUGGUUCUCUCCGAAAUAGCUUUAGGGCUAGCCUCGGAAUUGAGAAUGAUGGAGGUAGAGCACUGUUUGGACUAGGGGCCCAUCUCGGGUUACCGAAUUCAGAUAAACUCCGAAUGCCAUUCAUUUAUAUCCGGGAGUCAGACUGCGAGUGAUAAGAUCCGUAGUCGAAAGGGAAACAGCCCAGACCACCAGCUAAGGUCCCAAAAUAUAUGUUAAGUGGAAAAGGAUGUGGGGUUGCACAGACAACUAGGAUGUUGGCUUAGAAGCAGCCACCAUUUAAAGAGUGCGUAAUAGCUCACUAGUCGAGUGACCCUGCGCCGAAAAUGUACCGGGGCUAAACAUAUUACCGAAGCUGUGGACUACACCAUUAGGUGUAGUGGUAGGAGAGCGUUCUAAGGGCGUUGAAGGUCGAUCGUGAGGACGGCUGGAGCGCUUAGAAGUGAGAAUGCCGGUAUGAGUAGCGAAAGACAGGUGAGAAUCCUGUCCACCGUAUGACUAAGGUUUCCUGGGGAAGGCUCGUCCGCCCAGGGUUAGUCGGGACCUAAGCCGAGGCCGAUAGGCGUAGGCGAUGGACAACAGGUUGAUAUUCCUGUACCAGUUGUUUUUGUUUGAGCAAUGGAGGGACGCAGUAGGCUAAGGAAUGCAUGCGAUUGGAAGUGCAUGUCCAAGCAAUGAGUCUUGAGUAGAGUUAAAUGCUUUACUCUUUAAGGACAAGUUGUGACGGGGAGCGAAAUAAUAGUAGCGAAGUUCCUGACGUCACACUGCCAAGAAAAGCUUCUAGUGAGAAAACAACUGCCCGUACCGUAAACCGACACAGGUAGUCGAGGAGAGUAUCCUAAGGUGAGCGAGCGAACUCUCGUUAAGGAACUCGGCAAAAUGACCCCGUAACUUCGGGAGAAGGGGUGCUGACUUCGGUCAGCCGCAGUGAAUAGGCCCAAGCGACUGUUUAUCAAAAACACAGGUCUCUGCAAAAUCGUAAGAUGAAGUAUAGGGGCUGACGCCUGCCCGGUGCUGGAAGGUUAAGAGGAUGGGUUAGCUUCGGCGAAGCUCAGAAUUGAAGCCCCAGUAAACGGCGGCCGUAACUAUAACGGUCCUAAGGUAGCGAAAUUCCUUGUCGGGUAAGUUCCGACCCGCACGAAAGGCGUAACGAUUUGGGCACUG
rnacentral:rRNA from 1 species